UGAAAAGGGCGGCAAACAGAGGCGACGGUAUCAUAUUCAGGAACUGCAUAUUCUCCCCUCCACCCCCACCUUAUUUAUCGCUACAUUUCCAGUACUCACCACGGUGCCCAGCACGCGCAGAGCACUCCCUAAAUAUUUGUUAAGUGAAUACAUGCAUGAAACCCAACUCCAGGAAACUAUUUGCCGUCAGACCCCAAAGCCAGGCCUUUGUGAGGAACCAUUAGGAUUCCAACCAUAUGAUCCAGCGAAGCUGUUCCAAAGAACCCACGUCCGUAUGCUGAGCAGCCUCCCGGAUGCACGCCACCAGGUACAAUUGAAUGGACCUGCGGCGGCCCUGCCUGCCAUUCUAGAGAAGGCGGAAGUGAAUUCUCCGCCUUGCUUCCACACACUCACUUCCAGCCAUACUCCCACUGGACAACUGAUGCCACCGGCUUCCAUCAAAUGAAUACAAGAAAAACAAACAAACAAACAAACAAACAAACAACCAUCCAAGGGGCUUCAGCGUGGGAGACUGUUGAAUCUGUGCAAGCGUUAGCAGCCAGGCUGGAUUCCCAGCCCUGCCUUUAAUUGUAGCCUGUGUGCUAUGAUUGGAAUUAAAUGACAUGCCAAAUUAAAGAGUUAUUUUUUCUAAUAAAUAUUUUGCAUAGGA
rnacentral:lncRNA from 1 species